AAGGCGCACGAUUGGAAAUCGUGUAACGAUUAAACCCGUUCGAGGGUUCGAAUCCCUCCCUGUCCGCCA
rnacentral:tRNA from 1 species